GCACUUUUAUUGGCAAAAAGGACUGCCAUUUAAACUCAAAUCAGCAAACUCAAUUCAAGAUGUAUGCCAAAGAAAAAAAAGGAAAAGUAUCACAUUUAUUUGACUUUUAUGGAUUUUUUAAAUCUUUUACUUUGCGCCUCACCUCGCUCAGGCCCGCGCCUACACUUUGAGCCUUGCGCUUAGGCUCCGGGACUCCUCGGCACCUUAGCGCGCCUUGAGCCUUUAA
rnacentral:misc_RNA from 1 species